rnacentral:snRNA from 1 species
ACACUUACCUGGCAAGGGAGACACUUUGAUCAUGAUGGAAAUUUUCCCAGGGUAAUGCUCAACCACUGCAUUCUAGUUGAGUUGACUUCUCCACCUUCCCAACUACUGUUGCUACAAUUUAUAUUUC